UCCUAAGUUCAAGCAUUAGCUUGGACAAAUUUUUGGUUCUCUAUCUCUAACCAGUAGGCUUAUAAAUAAAUAUUGGUAAAAUAUGAUAGAAUGGGCCAGCUGGUCUGGUGGUUAAGUGGUGAGUUGGAGUGCUAAAGGUUAGGAGUUCGAGACUUUGCUCGAACAAAAGAUUUAUUUUUACUGCUUGUGUCGUGUGAGUGUUGU
rnacentral:lncRNA from 1 species